rnacentral:rRNA from 1 species
CUACGGGACGCAGCAGUGGGGAAUAUUGCACAAUGGAGGAAACUCUGAUGCAGCAACGCCGCGUGGAGGAUGACACUUUUCGGAGCGUAAACUCCUUUUAUAUAGGAAGAAGAUGACGGUACUAUAUGAAUAAGCGCCGGUUAACUCCGUGCCAGCAGCCGCGGUAAUACGGAGGGCGCAAGCGUUACUCGGAAUCACAGGGCGUAAGGAGCGUGUAGGCGGAUUAAAAAGUCAGAAGUGAAAUCCUAUAGCUUAACUAUAGAACUGCUUCUGAAACUCUUAAUCUAGAAUAUGGGAGAGGUAGAUGGAAUUUCUGGUGUAGGGGUAACAUCCGUAGAGAUCAGAAGGAAUACCGAUUGCGAAGGCGAUCUACUAGAACAUUAUUGACGCUGAGACGCGAAAGCGUGGGGAGCAAACAGGAUUAGAUACCCGAGUAGUC